rnacentral:rRNA from 1 species
GAUCCUGGCUCAGGAUGAACGCUAGCUACAGGCUUAACACAUGCAAGUCGAGGGGCAGCAUGAAGUUGCUUGCAAACUUGAUGGCGACCGGCGCACGGGUGAGUAACGCGUAUCCAACCUUCCCUAUACUAGAGGAUAGCCCGGCGAAAGUCGGAUUAAUACUCUAUGUUCUUCGUAGAAGACAUCUGAAAUGAAGCAAAGGUUUACCGGUAUAGGAUGGGGAUGCGUCUGAUUAGGUUGUUGGCGGGGUAACGGCCCACCAAGCCCACGAUCAGUAGGGGUUCUGAGAGGAAGGUCCCCCACAUUGGAACUGAGACACGGUCCAAACUCCUACGGGAGGCAGCAGUGAGGAAUAUUGGUCAAUGGACGAGAGUCUGAACCAGCCAAGUAGCGUGCAGGAUGACGGCCCUAUGGGUUGUAAACUGCUUUUAUACAGGGAUAAAGUUCACUACGUGUAGUGUUUUGUAGGUACUGUAUGAAUAAGGACCGGCUAAUUCCGUGCCAGCCGCGGC